CCGAGCGAGGAGGAGGAGGAGGAGGAGGAAGAAGAAGAAGAGGAGGAGGAGGAGGAGGGGGACGAAGUGUAGCGGAGGUGGGAAGGUCGGGGUAAGGCUGCUGAGGGUGUCCGGAGGCGGAGACCUCCGUCCAGAGAGACCAGGUUCGCACCUCUCCGUUCCAAAAAUCGCAUCGCUCCAGAGCACCGGGGUUCAGCACCGGGAUCUGCGCUCCGGGCACGGCCGAGGAGUUUCCCUUCAGGCAGCUUGUCUUGAACCUUCACCUAAAAGUUUUUUUUUACUUCCUAAUUCCAGAGGCUGGCAUGCACGGUUCCUGCAACAGCAGCAGGCCAGGCAUCUCUGUUUCUACAGGAGAAGGGGAAUUUAAGGCGUUUGACAAUUUCACACCUAACUUUGCCACGGGAAAGUGGAGGGAGACAGAGGCAGCACUGACGGGAAGCGUUAAUUGCUGAGAUGGAGCGGGAGACACAACUUGCUCUCUGAAAUCUGAUCAACUAGUGGCACUUCUUAGUUCCAGCGGAGGGAUAAUUUUAAAAAUAAUUGCUUAACCGGCUCGUGGAAGCACUGUUUAUUUUGUCUUAGCAGAAUUAGGGAAUUAAACCAUUUCCUCGUGGUA